rnacentral:rRNA from 1 species
AUUGAACGCUGGCGGCAGGCCUAACACAUGCAAGUCGAGCGGAGCGGCGGACGGGUGAGUAAUGCCUAGGAAUCUGCCUGGUAGUGGGGGAUAACGUCCGGAAACGGGCGCUAAUACCGCAUACUAUCAGAUGAGCCUAGGGCGGAUUAGCUAGUUGGUGGGGUAAAGGCCUACCAAGGCGACGAUCCGUAACGGGUCUGAGAGGAUGAUCAGUCACACUGAAACGGAGACAGGGUCAAGACUCCUAGGGGAGGCAGCAGUGGGAAAUAUUGGACAAUGGGCGAAAGCCUGAUCCAGACAUGCCGCGUGUGGGAAGAAGGUUUUCGGAUUGUAAAGCAGUUUAAGUUGGGAGGCGUUACCAACAGAAGAAGCACCGGCUACUUCCGUGCCAGCGGCCGCGGAAUAC